UCUGGUUGAUCCUGCCUGAACUGAUGUGUUCAUUUCAAAGAUUAAGCCAUGCAUGUAUAAGUUUAAUCGUUUUAACGAGAAACCGCGAACGGCUCAUUACAAUGGCCAUGAUUUACUUGAUCUUGAUUAUCUAAAUGGAUAACUGUGGAAAAGCUAGAGCUAAUACAUGCACCAAAGCUUUGUCCUCUCGGAAAAGCGCAUUUAUUAGAACAAAACCACGCGGCUUCGGCUGCUUCUUGUUGACUCAGAAUAACUAAGCUGACCGCAUGGCCUUGUGCCGGCGGCGUGUCUUUCAAGCGUCCACUUUAUCAACUUGACGGGAGCAUAAUCGACUCCCGUGGUGGUGACGGAUAACGGAGGAUCAGGGUUCGACUCCGGAGAAGGGGCCUGAGAAAUGGCCACUACGUCUAAGGAUGGCAGCAGGCGCGCAAAUUACCCACUCUCGGCUCGAGGAGGUAGUGACGAGAAAUAACGAGAUCGUUCUCUUUGAGGCCGGUCAUCGGAAUGGGUACAAUUUAAACCCUUUAACGAGUAUCAAGCAGAGGGCAAGUCUGGUGCCAGCAGCCGCGGUAAUUCCAGCUCUGCUAAUACAUAGAAUUAUUGCUGCGGUUAAAAAGCUCGUAGUUGGAUUCGUAUCGGUACCCUGGAACCCUCCGGGUGUUUCUGGGUGUUAUCGAUUUAUCGUAAUGUUCGGUUUUGAGUCCUUAACAGGAUUCUUAACAGGCAUUGCAAGUUUACUUUGAACAAAUCAGAGUGCUUCAAACAGGCGUUUUCGCUUGAAUGAUCGUGCAUGGAAUAAUAGAAAACGAUUUCGGUUCAGUUUUAUUGGUUUUACGGACUGAGAUAAUGGUUAACAGAGACAAACGGGGGCAUUUGUAUGGCCCCGUGAGAGGUGAAAUUCUUGGACCGUGGCCAGACAAACUACAGCGAAAGCAUUUGCCAAGAAUGUCUUCAUUAAUCAAGAACGAAAGUCAGAGGUUCGAAGGCGAUCAGAUACCGCCCUAGUUCUGACCGUAAACGAUGCCAACUAGCGAUCCGCCGAUGGAAAUUAUAUUGCCUUGGUGGGGAGCUUCCCGGAAACGAAAGUCUUCCGGUUCCGGGGGAAGUAUGGUUGCAAAGCUGAAACUUAAAGGAAUUGACGGAAGGGCACCACCAGGAGUGGAGCCUGCGGCUUAAUUUGACUCAACACGGGGAAACUCACCCGGCCCGGACACUGUGAGGAUUGACAGAUUGAUAGCUUUUUCAUGAUUCAGUGGAUGGUGGUGCAUGGCCGUUCUUAGUUCGUGGAGUGAUUUGUCUGGUUUAUUCCGAUAACGAGCGAGACUCUAACCUACUAAAUAGCUGGUACAUACUCUUAGUGUAUACAGCUUCUUAGAGGGAUUUGCGGUGUUCAGCCGAAAGAAAUUGAGCAAUAACAGGUCUGUGAUGCCCUUAGAUGUCCGGGGCUGCACGCGCGCUACACUGGCAAAAUCAACGUGCUUGUCCUACCCCGAAGGGGCGGGUAAACCAUUGAAAAUUUGCCGUGAUUGGGAUCGGAAAUUGCAAUUAUUUUCCGUGAACGAGGAAUUCCAAGUAAGUGCGAGUCAUCAGCUCGCGUUGAUUACGUCCCUGCCCUUUGUACACACCGCCCGUCGCUGCCCGGGACUGAGCCAUUUCGAGAAAUUUGGGGACCGUUGAUUUAAUUUUUCUAAAUUACUUUGAUGGAAACCAAUUUAAUCGCAGUGGCUUGAACCGGGCAAAAGUCGUAACAAGGUAGCUGUAGGUGAACCUGCUGCUG
rnacentral:rRNA from 1 species